UUAGGAUGAAUGAACAUGUGCGGCCCAGGUUGUGAACUGGACGUCCUCUUUUCUUUUCUCCAACGGUCGGUCGCCGGCGAGACGCGACGGCAGCUGAGAUCCGCCGCCUACCAGCCUCGCCGCCGCGGGCCGCGGCCGGAGAGAUGCGAGGGGAGGGGAUACUCGAGUUGCAUGCGAGCGAAGCGGCGGCGUCGUGGGUGGUGGGGGCGGAUGGGCACGGACGCGCACCUCUUCACCACGACGACGCCGCCAUCCGGGCGUUCUUGGACUCCCGCUUGAACGCCGACGAUGUCGACGUGCUCAAGUCGGGCGCCUCCUCGCCCUCGUAGCGCAGGGCAUCGACGUCCGGCGCCUCUUCCAGCAGCUGAAGAACUUGGCGUCGCUGUCGCUGGAGGCGAAGCAAAGCAAAAGGGGAACUCGAAGUUGUACUCGGCCCGCCAUCCCCUCCAUCGCCCGCCAUAUGUUCGACGAAAUGCCGGCUACCCUCCUCCUUGGGUUCUGAAGGUGGCUCUGUACACAGAGGAGACAGCUGUGCAGGAGGAGGAGGGGGAUCCUGCACAAGUUCUAAUGCACACCAACAUGCUAUAAUGGUUGGCUGUUAGUACCUCUUACGAGGUUGUGCAAGCCUGUUCAUGGGAGGGAUCCGGUAGUAUGUUCAAUCAGGUGUGUUGCAAAUGCAACAAGUACUCCCUCCGUUCGGAAAUACUUGUCAUUAAAAUGGAUGAAAAUGGAUGUAUCUAAAACUAAAAUACAUCUAGAUACAUCCAUUUCAACGACAAGUAUUUCUGGACGGAGGGAGUAGUUUGCAAUCUGGACAAUGCCUCAAGGAAACGAAGGUUAAAAAAAAACCUUCAGGCACAAACAGCUGAUACUGAAGCAUUGCUUUCUUUUAGGGCAACAAUAUGUGGAUAAUGAUGUCCACAGUUUCCUUCAGUUUGUUAUGCAGGAUGGUGAGUUGGUGGCUGAUGGCGUGGCAGGUUAUCCUUGACCUUUUGGAUGGCGUGGCAUAUUCACUCAUUAGUCAAAUUACAAGGCGUGGGUGGGUUUUCUUGUGUGGGGUAUGUGAUUGCGUCGCAUCUAUCUCUAUGAAUUUUAUAUAUCGUGUUAUUUUUUUGUUUGAGCAGACUGCUGUUUAUAAUGCAAAUGCGUGCCUAUUUGUCGAAAUACAUGUUCAUGCCACAACUUUAUUCUAAAUGAUCAUGGAUCUCGUCUUAUAAGUUUACUAUCAUUCAGUCAAAGUCAGCUUCCAAUUAUUGCUCAA